UACGUAGGGGGCAAGCGUUAUCCGGAUUUACUGGGUGUAAAGGGAGCGUAGGCGGUGAUGCAAGUCAGAAGUGAAAGUCCGCAGCUCAACUGCGGGACUGCUUUUGAAACUGUACGACUAGAUUGCAGGAGAGGUAAGUGGAAUUCCUAGUGUAGCGGUGAAAUGCGUAGAUAUUAGGAGGAACACCAGUGGCGAAGGCGGCUUACUGGACUGUAAAUGACGCUGAGGCUCGAAAGCGUGGGGAGCAAACAGG
rnacentral:rRNA from 1 species